CCCUUAGAUGAUUUGGGCUGCACGCGCGCUACACUGACCCUAACAAUGAACAACUGUCUGGCCUGAGAUGGCUGGGUAGCCUUUUCAACCCAUGUCAUGAUUGGGCUAGAUUUUUGUAAGUCUUGAUCUCUAACGAGGAAUCCCUAGUAUGCGUGAAUCAUCAAUCCAUGCAGAUUACGUCCCUGCCCUUUGUACACACCGCCCGUCGCUACUACCGAUUGGAUGGUUUAGUGAGAUCCUCGGAUUGGUCCCGGCGCGGCCUCUGGUCGUGCCGGAGUGCCGAAAAGAAUGUCGAACUUGAUCAUCUAGAGGAAGUAAAAGUCGUAACA
rnacentral:rRNA from 1 species